UGAGGUGAGGCUGCCGAGCGCAUGGCGGGCACGGCGCUGAAGAGGCCGAUGGCCGAGUACAAACAAUUAACACUGAACCCUCCAGAAGGAAUUGUGGCAGGCCCCAUGAAUGAAGAGAACUUUUUUGAAUGGGAGGCAUUGAUUAUGGGCCCUGAAGACACCUGUUUUGAGUUUGGUGUUUUUCCUGCCAUCCUGAGCAGGAAAAACUGGAUUACUCACUGAGUCCUCCAAAGAUGCGCUUCACCUGUGAGAUGUCUCGCCCCAACAUCUACCCCGAUGGCAGAGUCUGCAUCUCCAUCCUCCAUGCGUCAGGCGACGACCCCAUGAAAGCAGUGCAGUAUGAAAGCAGUGCCGAGAGGUGGAGCCCUGUGCAGAGCGUGGAGAAGAUCCUGCUGUCCGUCCUUAGCAUGUUAGCAGAGCCCAAUGAUGAGAGUGGCGCCAAUGGAGAUGCUUCUAAAAUGUGGCAGGAUGACCGUGAGCAGUUCUACAAGAUUGCCAAGCAGAUUGUACAGAAGUCCCUGGGGCUGUGAGGCUGUGCCUCCUUCCCCUCAGCACAUGGGCACUC